rnacentral:tRNA from 1 species
GCGUCAAUAGCUCAGCAGGAUAGAGCAACUGCCUUCUAAGCAGUAGGUCCGGGGUUCGAGUCCCUGUUGGCGCGCCA